rfam:Methanosarcina acetivorans str. C2A, complete genome.
UAGUCUGAUGCAAAGAUCCCGGACAACCAGGCAGGGCACGAAAAAACAAUGACCUGUCUCCUGCCAGCCCUUGCAGGCGCAAACACUCUGUACGGCGCCG